rnacentral:rRNA from 1 species
CUACGGGCGGCACCAGUGGGGAAUAUUGGACAAUGGGCGAAAGCCUGAUCCAGCAAUACCGCGUGAAUGAUGAAGGCCUUAGGGUUGUAAAGUUCUUUUAGCAGGGAAGAUAAUGACGGUACCUGCAGAAAAAGCCCCGGCUAACUCCGUGCCAGCAGCCGCGGUAAGACGGAGGGGGCUAGCGUUGUUCGGAAUUACUGGGCGUAAAGAGCGCGUAGGCGGCUUAGUAAGUUGGGAGUGAAAGCCCGAGGCUUAACCUCGGAACUGCUUCCAAAACUACUAGGCUAGAGUGUAGUAGGGGAUGAUGGAAUUCCUAGUGUAGAGGUGAAAUUCUUAGAUAUUAGGAGGAACACCGGUGGCGAAGGCGAUCAUCUGGGCUACAACUGACGCUGAGGCGCGAAAGCGUGGGGAGCAAACAGGAUUAGAUACCCUAGUAGUC